AAAAAAAAAAGCAGAUUGAGAGAAACUCAGAAGUGUCCGACGGCAACGAUGGUGCGCUCUGCGCUGCUGUCGCGGCGGCGCGCGGCUGUCACUGCCGCACCAGCUCUCCAUACCCUGCCCCUCAUUCACUGAUUCACCUUCGCGCCGAACAAGGCGCCAUUUGCCCCUUUCCCCUCCCGCCGCUCUACUCCCUCAUUGUCUUCUCUCUCGCCUCCCUGGACCGGCCACUCCGGUCGCCAACCGACGGAGACAGAGAGGGCGCUGGGGCCUGAAUAGGAGGCGGCACUUGGAGGAGGCGUCUGUGGGCAGCGGAUGUGGACAUGUGGUUCUUCAGAGGUUGAUGGUCGCUUUCUUUCUGGACCCGGCCGGGCUCAGUCUUGAUGGCAAGGCUAAAGACUGGCCUAGACUUGUAGCGUGUAUACCAGUCACGCUGCUAGUUCAUUUUGACUUGGCCGAAUGACGUUGGAUUGAGCUACUCCAGUUCAUUUUGACUUAGCGGAAUGACGUUGGAUCGAUGACGUCUCAGCGUAGAAUUUGUUUUAUUUUAAGGUCAGCAUUGACUUAUAGUCAGAGUUUGGCAUCAUCGGUUGAAUGUGUACUCUAUAUAUAACGAUGUCAGAAACCCGUGCUCGAGAAAAAGAAGGUCAGAAACACUGUCGCGUUCUUGAACCCAGAAGGUUCCAUUUGCACGCCAAUUGUUUUGGGUGUGUUAUUUGGGCUCCAUUUGACAUUGCGGUGGAUUAUCAUAAUUUGUUUUGCUAUU